rnacentral:rRNA from 1 species
GACGAACGCUGGCGGCGUGCUUAACACAUGCAAGUCGAACGGAAAGGCCCUGCUUUUGUGGGGUGCUCGAGUGGCGAACGGGUGAGUAACACGUGAGUAACCUGCCCUUGACUUUGGGAUAACUUCAGGAAACUGGGGCUAAUACCGGAUAGGAGCUCCUGCUGCAUGGUGGGGGUUGGAAAGAUUCGGCGGUUGGGGAUGGACUCGCGGCUUAUCGGCUUGUUGGUGGGGUAGUGGCUUACCAAGGCUUUGACGGGUAGCCGGCCUGAGAGGGUGACCGGCGACAUUGGGACUGAGAUACGGCCCAGUCUCCAACGGGAGGCAGCGGUGGGGAAUAUUGCACAGUGGGCGGAAGCCUGAUGCAGCAACGCCGCGUGCGGGAUGACGGCCUUCGGGUUGUAAACCGCUUUCGCCUGUGACGAAGCGUGAGUGACGGUAAUGAGUAAGGAAGCACCGGCUAACUACGUG